UUCUUUUUUUAUCCCUAGUAUUAUUAAAAAUCGCAGUGGGAUCCUUGCAGAGACUAGAGUGAUCUAGUGGUUAGCGUGCCGAACUGUGUUUCCGAUGGUGCGAGUUUCACGUCCCAUAAUAUAAAUCUCGCUCCUUACUUCUGAGACGUUGAUACUUUAGUAGCCCAAGAGUUGAUGUACCGAUUUUUGGGCCUGUCAGAAUGCAAUCUGACUCCUACGAGUUACUGAAAUUCUGUGAAACUUUGGAUAAUUCGUCUUCGACAGAGUUACAAGUAAAAAUCUGUCAAUACGUAA